AUGGCAUUCUACUCAGAUCAUCAUGCUUAUGCGAGCAACAGUACAAACAACACUGAACGUAUUCAAGAACUGAUAAGUAAGAUUUCCCAUCGAUUAGAUGAUUUAGCUCGGCAGCGAGAAGUAGUUUUUGAGGAUAUGCCUACCUCUUAUGAUCCUUAUUCUAGAGGCCAUCCUUAUGUUGCUCCUACCUGCCAUAUUUGUGGAUUUCAGGGCCAUUCACCCGCUGAAUGUCAGCGUGGUUACUCUCACCCUCCAGAUUGUUUUGGCAUGAGCUUUGCUCAAGAGCAUAGCUCAUACCAAAACAAUACACACAUGGGUGGCCUGAAAACCAGAAUAUCUCAUAUAGGAGCAACAACCCUGAGAUCUCACCAUUUGCUUCUAGUAAUCAUAUCCAGGGAUUUAUGUAUGAAGAGGAGAGCAACAACUAUGCACCACAACAAUUUUAUUCACCUCCUACUCAUAUACCUCAACACCACGAGAUAUUGCCAAUGGAGUUAA
rnacentral:rRNA from 1 species